rnacentral:rRNA from 1 species
CCUACGGGUGGCAGCAGUGAGGAAUAUUGGUCAAUGGACGAGAGUCUGAACCAGCCAAGUAGCGUGAAGGCUGACUGCCCUAUGGGUUGUAAACUUCUUUUAUAUGGGAAUAAAAUGUUCCACGUGUGGGAUUUUGUAUGUACCAUAUGAAUAAGGAUCGGCUAACUCCGUGCCAGCAGCCGCGGUAAUACGGAGGAUCCGAGCGUUAUCCGGAUUUAUUGGGUUUAAAGGGAGCGUAGGUGGAUUGUUAAGUCAGUUGUGAAAGUUUGCGGCUCAACCGUAAAAUUGCAGUUGAAACUGGCAGUCUUGAGUACAGUAGAGGUGGGCGGAAUUCGUGGUGUAGCGGUGAAAUGCUUAGAUAUCACGAAGAACUCCGAUUGCGAAGGCAGUUCACUGGACUGCAACUGACACUGAGGCUCGAAAGUGUGGGUAUCAAACAGGAUUAGAUACCCGGGUAGUU